GACGAACGCUGGCGGCGUGCUUAACACAUGCAAGUCGAACGGAAAGGCCCUGCUUUUGUGGGGUGCUCGAGUGGCGAACGGGUGAGUAACACGUGAGUAACCUGUCCUUGACUUUGGGAUAACUUCAGGAAACUGGGGCUAAUACCGGAUAGGAGCUCCUGCUGCAUGGUGGGGGUUGGAAAGUUUCGGCGGUUGGGGAUGGACUCGCGGCUUAUCAGCUUGUUGGUGGGGUAGUGGCUUACCAAGGCUUUGACGGGUAGCCGGCCUGAGAGGGUGACCGGCCACAUUGGGACUGGGAUACGGCCCAGACUCCUACAGGAGGCAGCAGUGGGGAAUAUUGCACAAUGGGCGGAAGCCUGAUGCAGCAACGCCGCGUGCGGGAUGACGGCCUUCGGGUUGUAAACCGCUUUCGCCUGUGACGAAGCGUGAGUGACGGUAAUGGGUAAAGAAGCACCGGCUAACUACGUG
rnacentral:rRNA from 1 species